rfam:Planctomycetes bacterium SM23_25 WORSMTZ_33469, whole genome shotgun sequence.
GGCGUUGCGAGGCGUUGUGGGAAGGACGCUGCAGGCAAACCUGCGGCCCGAUGAACAAGAACCGCAUAUGAGGCGGCGUCGCGCGGGCGAAGGGGCCAAGACACCCAAAGCCCGAUGUCACCCGGAACGCGGCGACGUAGACGCGGCGGGCGUGCAGGGACGGUCACGUGCC